CAGCCGCCGCGGUAAUACGUAGGGGGCGAGCGUUGUCCGAAGUUACUGGGCGUAAAGCGCGCGUAGGCGGCUUCUUAAGUCUGAGGUGAAAGGUUCAACGCUUAACGUGAACAGUGCCUUGGAUACUGGGGAGCUUGAGUAUGGGAGAGGGCAGUGGAAUGGCUGGUGUAGCGGUGAAAUGCGUAGAUAUCAGUCGGAACACCCAUGGCGAAGGCAGCUGCCUGGCCUAAUACUGACGCUGAGGUGCGAAAGCGUGGGGAGCGAACAGGAUUAGAUACCCGCGUAGUCCCUGUCUCUUAUA
rnacentral:rRNA from 1 species